rnacentral:rRNA from 1 species
AUUGAACGCUGGCGGAAUGCUUUACACAUGCAAGUCGAACGGCAGCACGGGGGCAGCCCUGGUGGCGAGUGGCGAACGGGUGAGUAAUACAUCGGAACGUGCCCGGUCGUGGGGGAUAACGUAGCGAAAGUUACGCUAAUACCGCAUACGAUCUGAGGAUGAAAGCGGGGGACCUUCGGGCCUCGCGCGAUCGGAGCGGCCGAUGUCAGAUUAGGUAGUUGGUGGGGUAAAGGCCUACCAAGCCGACGAUCUGUAGCUGGUCUGAGAGGACGACCAGCCACACUGGGACUGAGACACGGCCCAGACUCCUACGGGAGGCAGCAGUGGGGAAUUUUGGACAAUGGGCGCAAGCCUGAUCCAGCCAUUCCGCGUGCAGGACGAAGGCCUUCGGGUUGUAAACUGCUUUUGUACGGAACGAAAAGGCUCUGCCUAAUACCUGGGGCUCAUGACGGUACCGUAAGAAUAAGCACCGGCUAACUACGUG